GAAUUAUUGAACUGCAAUUUAUGAAUCUGUCCUGCGUUGUGAUUGUUUUGUGAAAUAUUCUUGUGUUCUGCAGUUACAUAAAAGAUUCGAUAUAUUGUUGACCUUGGCUGAAAACAGUCGAAAACCUCUCUCUCUAUCUCAACUCUAUCUAUCUGUAUUUGUCAUUUGUUUCGGUAAUCCAUUUGGCUCCAUCUGACAUCUCGAUUGUAUAUUUGUGCUGAGCAAGUGCUUGAUAAUUUCACGACACAUUACGAUUCUCCUGUGUUUAAAGAUGCGUAUUGUGGGCUUGUGGACUUCAAGCUUGCUUAUCUCAGUUAUAAGACGGGAUAAUUUGGAGAGGAUUGUCUGGACGGAACAUAGACAAAUAUUGCUGUAUUGGGAUAGACUAUAGCGUUUAGACUGGAAAAUAUUGGCACACUGUUCAGCGCCCUUCGUCUUUGUGUAGCAAGCAGGGUGCUUAAGGUCACACCCCGUCAAGCUUCUACAAUAAUUGUAAUUUUGUGGAAUUCGGCAAAAACUUUUUUUUGUAUAUUAAUUAUAAGCUUAUAGCAGAAAGAUUGCGUUUCUUCGACACCCCAUUUGCCAGUUUAAGCACCAAUGCGCCCAUCGUUUUCAAUGGCAAAGUCUAUUAAAAACAGACCAUUUUCAUUUCGUAGAAUCGCGCCAUGUAUUUAACUAUUUUGCCCAACAAAACUGUAAUUUGGCGUUAAAAAGGUGGACACAAUUAUUCUGAACAAUUCACUAACUGGA